GAGGCACACAAAAGAGAGACUGAGGUUUCAGAUAGGAACAUGAAAGCAUCCCAAACAAAAGGUAAGGAAUACAAGCAGUGAAAAAGCAGCAGAGCGGAAGAGGCUGAGGAAAGCUUGCCGAGAGGAGAUUGAUAGCAAAAGGAGGGAAGCCGGCAGAGAACAAGACGGUGUGAGGGGAAAAACCACGAAAAACAGUCUGCCGGGUUUUGUUGUGGAGCUACUGUGCUGCUACUGCUUCCUCCUGCUGCUGCCUUGCCAAUUUGCCAACAAAGAAAAAAUGCAACUAAGCAUGACGGGAGAGGGGAGCAAACGAUGCCCUCCUCACAGCAGCAAUGAUAAUUGCUUUCUGGUCACUGUGACAUGACGAGGUUCUUGACGAAGAACAUUUGUGAGGUCAGAGGUCACUGAUGUUGGACAAGCGUGCCUGCCGGCUCUAAAUCUCUGCUCUACUUCAUCCCAAAGGUGUUUUGAUGGGGUUGAGGUUUCGGGCUCUCCAUGUCCGUGCCAGUCAACUCCUUCCACACUAAUCUCAUCCAACAUCCAUUGCCUUUAUGGACUACAGUAUAUGAGAAGCUACAGUAUGCUGAGAAAAGAGGUUUGCAUGCAUCAAAAAUGUGCAAUUACAUCAACAUGAUCUUAUUCUAUCAAACUUUUAUGUCUGUCUGCCACAUACACACACACACACAAACACUUGGCAGCUGUUUGGAACAUGCAGCACAGAGAAAACACACCCAUGAGGUCAGCUGGAGGUCGACAACAAAACAUGGUUUUCUGUUAAGCACGCUAAGAGUCACUUUUUAACAAAACAUGCUUUUCUAUCAAGCACGCUAAGAGUCACUUUUUAAAGUAUUCAGACUCAUAUAUUGCCUACGUAAUGUAUGUAAUGGUAACAUGAUUGCAGGCAGGGGAGGCAGGUGAGGCAGAGCCUCACCAGUCAUGAUGAAAAAUAAAAUGACUGAUGAUAACAUGAGAGAAAUAUUAAUAUUCGUCCAUUGAAUUGUAUUCUAAAUGUAUUUUCUAAGCACAAUUGUUUUCACGUAUUUUUCAUGAUGAUUUAAUUUUCUGAAAAUCAUUGAUUUUUGCUCAUUUCCGUUUGUUUUUUUUUAGUCGACGACGACAUAAUUCCAAUCAGUAGACACAAAUAACUUUGGUCUUGUUGCAAGAGCCAUCUGCCAGGGCUUUGAAGCCAAAUUUACCAAUCAAAAUACCAAUUUCUUUCUCCAUUUCCGCUCAAUAUUAGCUCCAGCUUGUUGCUACACGGUGACAACUACGGGACAACAAACAGGACGUGCGCACGGUAAUGGCGCGUCAAAAAAAAUAGUGCCGUUAAAGGAAACAUCCAACAUAAAAGCCCUCCAAAAGAGUGCCUUACCAACCAUGAACCUCACCGCACGUCACUGGUAACAUUAGAGCGAAGACAGUGAAAUACAGUACAAUACCAGGAUGUCACGGUUUUUUGUCUUGUUGCACUGAGCAGCAUUCAUUGAAAAGGGGGGGGGGGGGUUAUGUAGCUGUUUCUAAACUGAUCUCAUCUGUAGUGUUUCAUAUGUGCUGGUUUUUCAUGACAGUGACGUCAUCGCCUUACCUAAGAAUAGCUGAGACCCACACGUUUGCCAAGCACCUGUCAGGUGGCUGAGGAAACCCUGUACAUCAUUUAGCUCAUGUGCACAUGUGCAGCGCACUGAAAGUGUAGCUUGCAGGGCCUGCUGUUGAUUCACACACAUCUCGGGAAUUAAAAGCAAAUGAAAUGUCACAUUUUUUUCCUGUGUAAUUAAAUGCGGCAUAAAACGUCUUGUGGCAGAGAAUGAAAUUGUUGCUGCUAUGCUUCUUAGACUACGGCGGCCGACAGGGGGAAACGUGCAGCAACAUCCAAACACAGAAAUGAUCCAAAACCAAAAAUGCACAGACACAUGUAAUGGAAAAAUGCUGCAAUCACAUAAACACUUCAGGGUCAAAAAUAAAUGCAAAAGAAAAAUCUCCCACAACACAAACCCCCUAAACAGCUACCUGAGAGAAAUGCUGCAUCUACCAGGGGCACCAGGCUUGAGGGACAUCCAUCUUUAAAGACUUAAGAUGUAAUAGUUAACCAUUAUAGAGAAACUGACUUUUACGGCCAAGAUGUACCUUUUCAUUGCAACAACAUUCUUCUGUGAAUCCCGCUCGUAUGUUUAGAGAGUGACAUCCCUGAAGUCUGGUGCCCAUGGUAGCCUGGCAAGCUUCCAUUUUCUUGUUUUGGGUGUGUGUGAAUUUUUCUUUUGCAUUUGUUUUUGACCCUGCAGCGUUUAUGUGACUCCGGCAUUUUUAAUUUGCGGCAUUUUUCUGUUGCACGUGUUUACUGCCAUUUCUGGUUUUGAAUCAUUUCUGUGUUUGGAGCAUUUGGAAGGUGCUGCGCUGCUGUAGUCCACCGUACUAGACUGCUGUUAUCAACCAACGGCAGAGUGACUGCAAUAUCCACUCAAGGUGCGGCUCAGAAAACUGCAAUGGAAUGUCGUGAGAGGAAUUAUUUGGACAAAUCUCCCUUUAACACAUUCUUUAAAAAGACCACUUAAUCCGCAAUGCUUCAGUGGAUGUUUGGGAUGUGUUUAAGAGCAGGAGACAUUGGUUUUGUGGUAAAAUCCCUCUGUAAGAUCAACAUGUUUUUUAAAAUAAAAAAACUGCAAUCUGUUUUUUUUUUUUUUUUUUAAAAGCUUGACCGAUGACUACUAUUGUGAAUAGGUCACAUUCUGUCAUUCAGAAAAGCAGGGAUGUUUUUCAAGUGUGUAAUCCUAUUCAUGUGUCUGCUCAUCCUUGUUUUUUUACGGUGUCUCUACAGCUGUUUCUGUCCCAGAUCCAGCUGUUUCAGCAGGCAAAACUACAUACCAUUUUAAUAACAACAUUCCGUACUUACGUGUGCGCAGGAAAGCCAUGGAACACCACAACAUACUGUAUAGGCACGACUGAGGACGUGGGUAUGUGAAUGGACAUACAGAUGUACAGUCGUCCCUCGCCACUUCACGUUUUGAUUUUCGCGGCUUCAGUCUAAAAAAAAACAGAAAAUAAAUAAUGCUGUUUCAUUGGAGGUGGGACCCACUUUACCUCCAGUUGACCAUCAAAUUUUUGUUUCUCGCCUCGAGUCAUGUGCGGGCUUCAUAAGCACUGUCCUAAAAUGGUUUAAAUCGUAUUUGACAGACAGGUCCUUCUCUGGUCAACUUUGGAACUUUCUCUUCAGAGAAAGCCCCUUUAACUUGUGGGGUGCCUCUAGGCUCAAUUCUGGGCCCAGUUCUAUUUUCUAUUCAUUUGCUGCCACUGGGAUCCACUUAAAAAAUAUAUAAAAUCCUAUAAAAUGUAAAAGACUGGAUGUCCCUCAAUUUCCUCAAUUAAAAUGACAAAAAACAGAGAUUGUUACAUUUGGUAAACCCGACCUUCUCUCUGGCCUUAACAGUGCUGUUGGCCCACUUUGGUGCAACUGCGGCCCCUCUGUAAAAAGCCUUGGUAUUUUUAUUGAUUGUACUGUUUAACAAUUUAACAGGCAGAUAAGCUCAAUGGUAAAAACUGCCUAUUUUAUCUUAGACUUCGCAACUCGCUAUACUUCCAACUGGUCCAAAAUGCGACUCCUUGGCUGCUUAUAGAACUAAAAGGCGGUGUCACCAGGGGUGCCCAAACCUUUUCCAUCGAGGGCUUCAUACCGAAAAGUCAAAGGGAGGCACUUUGAUAUUUGUGUAUGGUUUAAAAAAAAAAUAUAUAUAUAUAUAUAUAUAUAUAUAUAUAUAUAUAUAUUUAUAUAUAUAUUUAUUUAUUUAGCAUAUAUAUUUAGUGGCAGUAACUAUCUUAAACAGCGCC